CCCAGACUCCUACGGGAGGCAGCAGUGAGGAAUAUUGGUCAAUGGGCGCGAGCCUGAACCAGCCAAGUCGCGUGAGGGAAGACGGUCCUAUGGAUUGUAAACCUCUUUUGUCGGGGAGCAAAAGACGCCACGCGUGGCGUUCCGAGAGUACCCGAAGAAAAAGCAUCGGCUAACUCCGUGCCAGCAGCCGCGGUAAUACGGAGGAUGCGAGCGUUAUCCGGAUUUAUUGGGUUUAAAGGGUGCGCAGGCGGAAGAUAAAGUAAGGGGUAAAAUUGAGAGGCUCAACCUCUUCGAGCCGUUGAAACUGGUUUUCUAGAGUUGGAGAGAAGUAUGCGGAAUUCGUGGUGUAGCGGUGAAAUGCAUAGAUAUCACGCAGAACUCCGAUUGCGAAGGCAGCAUACCGGCGCUCAACUGACGCUCAUGCACGAAAGUGUGGGUAUCGAACAGGAUUAGAUACCCGAGUA
rnacentral:rRNA from 1 species